AGUGAACGCUGGCGGUAGGCCUAACACAUGCAAGUCGAACGGCAGCACAGUAAGAGCUUGCUCUUACGGGUGGCGAGUGGCGGACGGGUGAGGAAUACAUCGGAAUCUACUUUUUCGUGGGGGAUAACGUAGGGAAACUUACGCUAAUACCGCAUACGACCUACGGGUGAAAGCAGGGGAUCUUCGGACCUUGCGCGAUUGAAUGAGCCGAUGUCGGAUUAGCUAGUUGGCGGGGUAAAGGCCCACCAAGGCGACGAUCCGUAGCUGGUCUGAGAGGAUGAUCAGGCAAACUGGAACUGAGACACGGUCCAGACUCCUACGGGAGGCAGCAGUGGGGAAUAUUGGACAAUGGGCGCAAGCCUGAUCCAGCCAUACCGCGUGGGUGAAGAAGGCCUUCGGGUUGUAAAGCCCUUUUGUUGGGAAAGAAAAGCAGCAGGUUAAUACCCCGCUGUUCUGACGGUACCCAAAGAAUAAGCACCGGCUAACUUCGUG
rnacentral:rRNA from 1 species